CGCGAUUUCACGCUUUUCCGAUUCGGGCAGGGGGCAGGGGUACGUCCUGUCAUUUUAACGUUGAAAAAGUUCGCACUAUUCGCAGCCCUGUCCUCGAAUCAAGUGACUUUUCUCCACAUUCUAAUCUUUGCUAAAUAUAAAACGACGUUGGAAAAGUUCGCAGCCUUGUCUUCGAAUCGAUUGUGACUUUUUCUCCAUAUUCUAAUCUGCUGAAUAUAAACGACGAGAAACGGCAUGAAAGGAUCGUUCAUCGUUGGAUUUCUUUACUAAGAAUGUGACGAAUACGAGAUGGCUCCAAAUGAAUGCUGUUGCGACUUAUUGAAUUGCUGAUAGAUGCUGUCACAAACCAAACAAUGGGAAGAGAAGAGAGGUGAAAAGCAGACUUGACAAUUCUGUGAGGAGGAGGAGGCUCAGACAAAGCAUGGAUCAACUUUGCGAAUCAUGUAACCACAUAGCUGAUAACUGCUGCGCAUCAAUCAGUCUUCCUUCUUCUUUUAUUGGUACGUGUAGCUACUUCGGCUGCGAUCAAGCCAUUAGUCAGUUGGUGCAGUAAAAUAUAAUGGAGACUUUGCACGGCUCUGUACUGAGAGAUCGGAGCAUCGGUCGGUGAGUGACAAAGAUUUUAUCAGGUAACGAAUCUGUAUAAAAUGUAAAAUGUGUAAAAUUAUAUUAGAAAUGAAUAUAACG